rnacentral:rRNA from 1 species
UGCGUAGGGGGCAAGCGUUGUCCGGAUUUAUUGGGCGUAAAGAGCGUGUAGGCGGCCAGACAGGUCCGUUGUGAAAACUCGAGGCUCAACCUCGAGAUGUCGAUGGAAACCGUCUGGCUAGAGUCCGGAAGAGGAGUGUGGAAUUCCUGGUGUAGCGGUGAAAUGCGCAGAGAUCAGGAGGAACACCCGUGGCGAAGGCGGCCCUCUGGCUCGACCCUGACGCUGAGGCGCGAAAGCGUGGGGAGCGAACGGG